rnacentral:tRNA from 1 species
CAAGAUGUGGCUAAGACAGAAAAGCAUCUCCCUUACACCGAGAAAACGCCCGUGCAAAUCGGACCAUUUUGA